rnacentral:tRNA from 1 species
GGGGGCGUAGCUCAGUCGGUAGAGCAGCGGCCUUUUAAGCCGUAGGUCGAAGGUUCGAGCCCUUCCGCCCCUACCA